rnacentral:misc_RNA from 1 species
GGCAACUAAAGUGAACUUGUUUCACAGAAAAUGCUCUGAUUCUCCCUUAUGUUCACUUUAUGGCAUGCAAGAGGAAAUAGUGGAGCACUUGAUAUUUUUUUGUGAUCAUGCUAGGGCAAUUUGGUUUGGUUCCAGACUUGGAUUUAUUCCUCAAUUACAGGGUUCUAGUUCUUUGGUUGACUGGUAGUGGUGUAUGUUUGAUUUCUUGUAUUCUAGGGACUGCAGGCAAAUUAUUUUGGCAGGUUUGUUGUGUUGGAAUAUUUGGAAAGUGAGGAGUGCAACUCUUUUCGAAUCUAUUAAACCUAAUCUUUUGUCCCUCAUUGCAAAGGCCCAAAAUGCCAUUGAUGAGAUGCUCUCUUUAGCUAUCCAGCAACACCAUUAUGCUCUCUUUAGCUAUCCAGCAACACCAUUAUGCGUCUAUCUCUACUGAUAGUAGAGGGCACCUCUUAGGUGGCAGCCUCCUCCUUAUGAUGCUGUGAAAUUCAAGGUAGAUACUUCUUUUGUGAACGAUUAUGCGAUGGCAGGGUAUGAUGUUAUCGUUCGCAAUCAUGUGGGGCAAGUUGUAGAUGGUUAUGAAGCCUCUUUCACUUGUGAUUCCCUUUUAGUAGCUGCAAGUAUUGCUUUACGUACAACGUUCCAGUAUGCUGUCUCUAAAAGCUACCAUUGGGUGAUUUUUUAAGUUGAUUCUCUUAUUCUUAUUAAUAUGCUGGUUUCAUCCGCUACUCAAAUUCCGUGGGAAAUUGAGGUUGUUAUCCAUGAUAUUAAGGUUUU